rnacentral:rRNA from 1 species
AUGGCGGCCACGCCUCACCCGGUGACCACCCUCGACGACGUGGAGGAGCUGCUGCGGUCCUCUAAGGAGAAGGGGGAGGAGGUCCCCUGCUGCCAACUCGAGGCGGACGCGGCCAUCAACGCCGCCGUCAAGCUCAAGGCCAUGGUCGACUCCGGCGCCGUCCGCCUCGUCAACCAGGUGAUGCUGGCCAACAAGCUGCAGGCCAAGGCCACCGUGGAAGAAGGGUUCAAGGAGAUCAUCGACCGGACGCUGUUCUCGCCCCGGGAGAUGCAGGCGCUGGACGAGAGCAUCGCCGUGCUCAAGAACAGGCUCCAGAUCCCCUACGCGGUCGCUUACCCGGAGUCCAUGGAGGAAGAAGCAAUAAUCUCUGAGGUGCAGUCUCAACGGGUGGCGUGGGCUAUGGGUCUCAUGGGGCUGGAGGUUGAGAAGGAGGUGCUGGAAGAGCAGGCACCGAAGGAACUGGAGGAGUUCCAUAGCAUGCUUGCUGAUGCGCUGCAGACGCCUUCAUUCAUGGGCUCGGGGAGCACAGACCACAAGUUCCUCACCCAUUCUGGGCAGCUCGAGCUAGAUGACAUGGAGUAA